UACGAAGGGGGCUAGCGUUGCUCGGAAUCACUGGGCGUAAAGCGCACGUAGGCGGCUUUCUAAGUCAGGGGUGAAAUCCUGGAGCUCAACUCCAGAACUGCCUUUGAUACUGGAGCUUGAGUCCGGGAGAGGUGAGUGGAACUCCGAGUGUAGAGGUGAAAUUCGAUAGAUAUUCGGAAGAACACCAGUGGCGAAGGCGGCUCACUGGCCCGGUACUGACGCUGAUGUGCGAAAGCGUGGGGAGCGAACAGG
rnacentral:rRNA from 1 species